AGCCUCCCGCUAGCGCCGGCGCGGGGAGACUCGCCGGGCUGGGGCUCCCGGUGCGGGGCGAGGAGCGGCCAGGGUGGCCCCCGGGCCAGGGCUGCCUGAGAGCAGCCUUUCCUCGGGCUAAUUCCUUCCUUCCUUCCAGCCCCUGGGUCUGCUUCGCACGCAGCCCGCCCCGUGGUCUCUGGGUACCGUGUGCUGUAAGCCAGACCCUCCCGUCCUUUCCCCGGGGCGCUGUGCUGCGGAAAGCCGCCCCGACGGCCUCGCUGGGGAUUCUCGGCUGUGAAGAGGGUUAACGCGGCGUUCGUAGCUGACAGGGUUGCCGCCUGCUUUGCUGAAGGGGGGUGGUGGUAAAUGUGGCAUUGCCGCCUCUUCCUUUCCCACUGCUAGGAAGAGUUUUGUAGCCUAAGUUGCUGGGUUUGUGUGGGAUGCAAGACUCCCACAGAGGAUGUGACCCCAAGCAGCUUCUGCACUUUGCUUGUGCUUAUGGCCAGCCAGGGGUUAUGUUCUGAUAAGUGACCCCGUGAAAAUACAUGUUUUCUACCUCCGAGUGCUGCAAUCUCCACCUGGGAUCUGAGAGUCAAGCUGGAUUUUGCCUGUUGCUUGCAUCACUGCUGCUAAUAAAUAUUCAGCAAUCACAACUCUCCACUAAAAGAUUCUGUUGAUGGUGUAUACGAGAGAGAGAAUCCAGCGGCCUGUCCCAAAGCUGUGUUGGCUCUGCAGGGAUAAGACAAAUACAAUCUUAUUUCAUUCAGUAAGAAUGUAUUGCACCCCUCCUGCCAGGAAGCCCUGAAAUUCACAAGAUUUGAAGACAACAGACAGCACAGAAAGUGUUUGGCCAUUCCUGGAUUUUACUAAGGGCUGGUGCAGUGAUUGAGAAAAGGGGUGACAUGCUGGAAAUGAUCGACCCAAUGAAGGUAGAGACAAACAUGGCAAAACCUGGCCUUCACGCUGUAUUUCUUCCAUCAGAUCCAACUAUAGAUCUCACAAACCCUGUGCACAAUUGUGUCUGAGAGAGCUGGACCAGAGGAACAUACUGUCCUUUACAUGGGUCUCUCCCAUGUAGGAGAGAAGAAAAUCCUUAUCUUCCAGUGGGUGGUGCAGCAGGGAGAGUCUGGACAUAUCUGGAUUGACCCGGAAAUCCACUUCCACGUUAGCAACUUCAUCAUGAGCUGAAUCCAGAUGACAGAAAUUGAGCUGCACAGAGAAAUGAGGAGUGUCUCGUUUUAGUGCUUACAUAGUGCAAUUGGCCUGUGAGAAACAUCCUUUUUUCUGUCUCUAAAUGGAGGUUACAUAUCUAUCAAAGAUACCUAUAUCACCCCAGUUCCUGGCACAUCUGAAAAUCUUUAAUGUAUUUAUCCUCAGAACACCCCUGUGGGGUAUGGAGUAGCUAUUAUCUCAAUUUUACCGAUGGAAGCUAAGAUCCUAGAUGACUUUCCAAAGUCUCUUCACAGGUUGGCUUUAUCUGAGAUUCAGGGAGUGCAAAUCCAUAUCUGCCUUUAUCACGGAGCUCAAAGGUGAAGGAGUACUUGAUACCCUGAUCAUAAGCCCAGUCAUCAGAGCCACCAGCAGCAAGAUCUGCAUUGGGAGAGAAGAAAACUUGACUAGAAAAGGACAAGUCACUGAACCAGAAGUGUUGCAUCCACACCUUCAGGACAGUGAAGUAAAUGGGACUACUUGCGAAGAAAAGUACUACUCACAAGAGUAAAGAUAUCACAGUCUACACCAUUACGAGGGAGGUGAAGAAAAGCUUCCACCCUUUCUCUUUCUUUUCUUGGAGAAAAAGAAUGAUUCCAAGGAACCCAGGAAUAUGAAGCAUUAGGAAGACAGGCAUCCAUCCUACUUCUAUAAUGUACACUCAGAUGCCUUCUACAGUUUACCUUGACUUCUCCCAUUCUUUAAAACCACACACAGAGCUGAAUUCUGAACCAUUGAAUUCAGUGUCAAAACUUCUACACCACAAACUGAGCCAGGAGCAUGACUGGAUUUGUGGCGUUACUAUAGUGUUAUAAUACUAUAAACAUGAAGCAGAUUCAUUGGUUUGUCCGUCUAUCACCGCUCUCUUUAUACAUAGAUGCACAGGGGAUUCUAGUCAUACCUACCACAGAGAGAAUGGGUAGCUCAUUUAUUUUAAAUAAUUUUAAUGGAAAUUAAAGGGCAAUACUUAAAACCUCAAAGCAAACUUGAGUGGUUGCCUUGGGAUUCCCCUGGCAGACAGCCAGAAUAGCCUGCACUAUGCCUCUGCCUCCCAGCCUUGUCCCUGGUGUAGUGGAUGUGGCCAGUGACAAGAAGCAGCCCAGUUUGCAGCAAUUCCUGAAUGUUGGAAUGGCCCCCUCAGGGGUCAUCACAUCCCUGAUGCGUCCUGAUGCUCUUUGUUUCCACAAGCUGCUCAGGUGUCAAAUGGCCAGUCCUGAGGAUCCGGCCCACAGUGUGUAUACACUUCACAUCAAGGGGAGAAUGGAGCCCAAGUUGUAUUAUUCAAACCCAUAUCCAAAAUCAGAGAAUAAAAUUAGAAAGCACUGGAUUAGAAACUGCCAAGGACUGAACUGCAAGAGAUCGUAUUAUUGUAUUUGUUUCACGUUUAUUACAGUCUGUGUCAGUUUCCUCUAAAGUUGAUUUAUUUUGUGAAAACUCUUUUUUGUUACUGAGUUUACCAACCUCUUUCACAAACCACUGGCAGAAUGCAGGGGAGAUCCACUCUCUUGCAUGGAAACCACAAUCCAUAAAGAUCGCUUUUUUGUUUGAACCACUUUU